rnacentral:rRNA from 1 species
GAUGAACGCUGGCGGCGUGCCUAACACAUGCAAGUCGAACGGAGUCCAGCCUUAGAGACCUUCGGGUCAAAGAGGGGAAGACUGAGUGGCGGACGGGUGAGUAACACGUGGGCAACCUGGCUCAUAGAGGGGGAUAACAGAGAGAAAUUUCUGCUAAUACCGCAUAAGCACACACUGCCGCAUGGCAGAGUGUGAAAAGAGAAUCGCUAUGAGAUGGACCCGCGUCUGAUUAGCCAGUUGGCAGGGUAAGAGCCUACCAAAGCGACGAUCAGUAGCCGAUUUGAGAGGAUGAACGGCUACAUUGGGACUGAGACACGGCCCAAACUCCUACGGGAGGCAGCAGUGGGGGAUAUUGCACAAUGGGGGGAACCCUGAUGCAGCGACGCCGCGUGAGUGAAGAAGUAUUUCGGUAUGUAAAGCUCUAUCAGCAGGGAAGAUAAUGACAGUACCUGAAUAAGAAGCCCCGGCUAACUACGUG